rnacentral:rRNA from 1 species
UACGUGGGGGGCAAGCGUUGUUCGGAAUUACUGGGCGUAAAGGGCGCGUAGGCGGCUUUUCAAGUCGGGCGUGAAAUCUCCGGGCUUAACCCGGAAGGGUCGUUCGAUACUGUUGAGCUAGAGUGUGGAAGAGGCAACUAGAAUUCCGUGUGUAGCGGUGAAAUGCGUAGAUAUACGGAGGAAUACCUGAGGCGAAGGCGGGUUGCUGGGCCAACACUGACGCUGAGGCGCGAAAGCCAGGGGAGCAAACGGG